CAGCCGCCACGGUAACACCAGCAGCCCAAGUGGUGGUCGCGAUUAUUGGGCCUAAAGCGCUCGUAGCCGGGCCGGUAAGUCCCUUGUGAAAUCGGACGGCCUAACCGUUCGGCGUGCAAGGGAUACUGUCGGUCUUGAGGCCGGGAGACGUCCGAGGUACUCCGGGGGUAGCGGUGAAAUGUUCUGAUCCUCGGGGGACCACCGGUGGCGAAGGCGUUCGACGAGAACGGGCCUGACGGUGAGGGGCGAAGGCUAGGGGAGCAAACGGGAUUAGAUACCCCCGUAGUCCCUGUCUCUUAUU
rnacentral:rRNA from 1 species